rnacentral:rRNA from 1 species
UACGUAGGGGGCAAGCGUUGUCCGGAUUUAUUGGGCGUAAAGCGCUCGCAGGUGGUCCGCUGCGUCGUGCGUGAAAGACCCCGGCUCAACUGGGGGAUGUCGUGCGAUACGGGCGGACUGGAGGCCAGUAGGGGGAUGCGGAAUUCCGGGUGUAGUGGUGGAAUGCGUAGAGAUCCGGAGGAACACCAGCGGCGAAGGCGGCGUCCUGGACUGGUACUGACGCUCAGGAGCGAAAGCGUGGGGAGCGAUCCGG